GAAAUGCGAUAAGUAAUGUGAAUUGCAGAAUUCAGUGAAUCAUCGAAUCUUUGAACGCACAUUGCGCCCCCUGGUAUUCCGGGGGGCAUGCCUGUUCGAGCGUCAUUUCACCGCUCAAGCCUCGCUUGGUAUUGGGCAACGCGGUCCGCCGCGUGCCUCAAAUCGACCGGCUGGGUCUUCUGUCCCCUAAGCGUUGUGGAAACUAUUCGCUAAAGGGUGUUCGGGAGGCUACGCCGUAAAACAACCCCAUUUCUAAGGUUGACCUCGGAUCAGGUAGGGAUACCCGCUGAACUUAAGC
rnacentral:misc_RNA from 1 species